UGACCAGCUCGCUCCAAAGCUGUCGAAUCGUGCCAAAACUAUAGCAUCAGAUCCUCACAAGCGCGCAUCUGACUCGUACGAUCAUGCAAAGACUCCAGCCGUCAGAUCCCCAUCGCAAGCAACGCCAGCCAUCCGAUCACGCAACCGAUCCAUGGGCUCGCCUGUGAGCCGUGAUAGAGCGUGGUCUACUAUGGACUGCAAAGUGUAAACGGGCCUGAGCCCGUGCUCACGCCUAUCUAGGCCGGCC
rnacentral:lncRNA from 1 species